GUUAUUGGUUUUCAUUUAUUUGAAAUUAAUAGGGAAUGAGGUGUGAAUCCUCAACUGUACCCGCAGCUGUAUGCUCUGCAAGUUUUUACAAUAAGUCACUGACUAAUCCUCGGGAAGACGUAAAAAUAUGGAGUGAGUCAGAAGACCUGCCUUUAAUUGUUG
rnacentral:ncRNA from 1 species